rnacentral:tRNA from 1 species
CGGGGUAUAGCGCAGCCUGGUAGCGCACGCCCUUGGGGUGGGCGAGGUCGCAGGUUCAAAUCCUGUUACUCCGA